CGACGUCGGUUCCUCCUCCUGUCUGCAGUCAAGCAGGAGGAUUUUACGACGUCGCAGAGAAUUUUGGGUCUUUUCACCCAGAAAGCUUCAGGCUGCAGCCGAAAAUGAAAACGGCUUCCUGGUUUUGCGGGACCCAACACUC
rnacentral:snoRNA from 1 species